UACCUCUAACCAUAAACCACACACACACACACACACACACACACACACACACACACACACACACACACACACACACACACACACACACACACACACACACACACGCUUUAAAUACCGUAUGACUUACAUACAGACUCUAUUUCACUCAGUGACACAUCAUGGGAUGCUCAGGGCUGUUGAUUUUGGGUCUUGUCCUGAAUGUUGCUCACUGCCUGGAAACUCUGGGACAGAGUGACAUGAUUAUUGAGAGCAAGGAAAGCAUCACGGCAGUUCUGGGAGACGAUACCUACUUGAGCUGUAGAUAUCUGGGCGGGAGUCAGAUCCAAAAGGCCGCAUGGAAACGCCAGGUUAACUCCAUAUUCAAAUCCAGGGCGCUGGCAGGAAUUUCAGGGAAAGGGCCGUUUGGGAACGCGGUGCUCUCAGAACCAGAGUCUCUCACCAACCUGACAGUCAAGAUGAACGUGUCCGGUGUGGAGUUGGAGGGAGAGUAUAUCUGUGAGUUUGAAUCGGAGGAAGAGGAUUCUUUCGCUAGCAGAACCUUUGUCACCAUCCUGGUUCGGCCUAUUAUACAGGUUCUAGUGGAUGCAGAGACCAUCAACGGCACCCACUACCAGUCGGUGUCGUGCUCUGCCAUCGGUGGCCGCCCCCCCCCACAGAUCCGCUGGCUGAUCGAUGGCCUUCCUGUCACACACCACCUCUUCACUGUCAACGCAAGUACAGCCGCUCACUCGAACGGAACCUCCACCCUGAGCAGCGUCCUCCGCUUCCCCACCCACCUGCAGGACGACGACCGCGUGACCUGCGAGGUUCAACACCCGACCCUCCCAAGCCCCGCGCUCACCACAGUCAGGGUGGAAACCUACGCGAGGCCGAACGUGAGCAUUGAGGCGGCGAUGGUGCAGCGGGGAGGAACUGAGUUCUGGGUGGUCUCCUGCCUUUCGUCUGGAGGGAGACCUGACGCUGACAUCUCCUUGGCUUUGAACACCGACGAUGAGCUGCGGCGAGAGAACAACACAGACUCAGACGCACAGAGGAGCUCUGUUUACCUCCCUGCGACACGGUACGAAGGCCACAAUGUCACCUGUGCGUUCGUUCAUCCCAAAUUCACACACCCAGAGACGCGAGUCAAAACGCUGCCCUCUUUUUACCUGACUGGAGCUCGGCUGAUGGACUCAGGAAUCAAAAACGGUGACCUUCAAGGCAGCGACUGGUUGAAGCUGCAGGAGGGACAGAGGGACGUUGUCAUCGGCCUGCAGGUCACUGGAAAUGUGCCGCGUUACAAUGUCACCUGCAAAAAGGACGACGGCCUCUUACCGGACGGCGUUGAGCUGGUUGACGGCCGCCUCGCGGUUCAGGGUCCGGUGGAGCAUCGCCAAGCGGGCCCGUAUGAGUGCACCUUCUCCUAUCACCACCAUAGAGCAACGCUGCACUUUAACAUCACGGUGAACCCUCGACCUGCUCGGCUCGUGGAACCCGCCAUAGAAGCGUACUGGUGGAGAGACGGCGGACGCAGGGUGAUUGAGUGCUCAGCAGCUGAUGCUGUUCCUGCAGCCAACAUGUCCUGGCUGCUACCAGAGGGUGUGUCUGGAGACUCUUGGUUCAAUUUCACUUCUCAUAAUGGAAGCCAGUCUGUGAGGGGAGUGUUCCUCCUCCCCGCCUGCCUGCCCUGGGAGCUCACUGCAGUGUGUGUGAUAAAUCACGCAGCUUUUGAGAAGCCAGAAAACAGAAGCAUAACACUCCCUAUGUGCGGUACUGUAUGUUCUACUGAGAGAUGCCUUUGUCUGACUAGUGGCCAUAGGUUUCAUCUCACUUCCUGCGCUUCGACUCCCGUUUCCAACACAGCUCGCCCCAACGUCACCGUCAACUCCAGCACAGACUGGAAAGACGGCGAGAGGUUCACAACGGUGCAGUGCUCUGCACACAGCGUGGCCCCCGCAGCAGCUCUAACCUGGCGCGUGGGGGGCGGUGAUGACAUCAUCAGCGGUCUGACGGAGACCGACGUGCGGGAUGAGAGUUUGGUUUGCGUUCGUAGCUCCGUGCGGUUCUCGUCCGCCGCGUACGCUGGUCGGAAUGUGACCUGCGUGGUGCAGCAUCCGAGCCUGGAGCAGCCGGAGAACAGAAGCAUACACAUCCCUGUGCACAGUACGUCCUGUGUGUGUGUGUGUGUGUGUGUGUGUGUGUGUGUGUGUGUGUGUGUGUGUGUGUGUGUGUGUGUGUGUGUGUGUGUGUGA
ensembl:lncRNA